UACGAAGGGUGCAAGCGUUAAUCGGAAUUACUGGGCGUAAAGGGUGCGUAGGCGGUUGUUUAAGUCUGUCGUGAAGUCCCCGGGCUCAACCUGGGAAUGGCGAUGGAUACUGGGCAGCUAGAGUGUGUCAGAGGAUGGUGGAAUUCCCGGUGUAGCGGUGAAAUGCGUAGAGAUCGGGAGGAACAUCAGUGGCGAAGGCGGCCAUCUGGGACAACACUGACGCUGAAGCACGAAAGCGUGGGGAGCAAACAGG
rnacentral:rRNA from 1 species